GGGGGUGGGAUGGCUCAGUGGCAGAGCAUCUGCUUUGCAUGCAGAAGGUCCCAGGUUCAAUCCCUGGCACCUCCA